GGAGGGGUUUAGUGGGUAGGUAUCGCUCGUAUCUCUUGUAACAGGAGAUUUCAAUCGAUGAAUCCCACACUACCCACGGAUUGUGGUUUGGGAAUCGGGUGUCUUUUGAAGAUUUCCCUCCC
rfam:Anopheles christyi strain ACHKN1017 cont1.17558, whole genome shotgun sequence.